rnacentral:lncRNA from 1 species
GUGGCUACAAAAAUUAUUUCUGUCUACUCCUUCUGAAGGCUGCAACUUUGGAGGUUGGGUGGCUGACCUUUACAGGAGAAGAGAGAAAAAUCAAGAUAGAUAGGGUAAAAAUAAUUUUUACAUUGAGAUAAUAUAACUGAAUAUUGUUCCGUUUCUAUAUUUUGGAUGGGAAGGACUUUAGACUGAACUGAAUAUGAUCAUGAAGGUUGAUGUAAAGGUGUAUGGUCUUAAAGGCUUGCUGACAAUUGACUCUUUGGAAAAGGCUCAGCAUCGUGAUGUUAGAGGGAAAGAGGUGUAAGAGGCAAUAGAUGGACAUGUGAAGAAGCAAAAGAGCAAACUUUCUUUUCAUCUUUCUGACAUGUAAUUUUCAAUCAUCAUUGUGCUGCA